rnacentral:lncRNA from 1 species
ACCUUUUACUUGGAUCAGUUUCUUCUCUGUUGGUCAUGUCUUUGCAUCUUCAAAUAAGAAAAUAGACAAAACACCAGAAUAAUAAAAAGAGGAAUAUAAUAUAUAAAUAUAAAAUAAAUGACUAAAGGAAUGUUAGAAGCUGCUAUGUGAUCUUCCUUUUCAGUGACUUUGUUUACCUUCUUUCACCAUUGCUUUGGACACAGUAGUGGGGGAAGGAAAGAGAUCACCCACUUGAGCUUCUCCUGAAUGACUGCUGCCAUCUCAUCUGCGCCCACAACUGCUCAUCACUUCAGCUGAAAAAUGAGGCAAACAGCCACCAGGCAGAUGUGACAGCUCUGUGCCAUGCAGCAGAGGAACAGUGAAAUGCACAGAGCAGAGGAUUUAGCCUGCUUGCAACCCCCAUGGCACCAUAAAUCUGGACAUUGCUCAGUGGAGAGGUUGCCUUCUGCAGAGCAGAAAAGCCCCACAGUAGAACAUCUGCACAGAGGAAGGAGCUGAAGAUAAACAUCUCCAUGCCCUCAGUGAGUUUCCAUUUGUCUGUUGAUUGUUGACAGCAUCCAACUCUCCUGCUUUCAGGAAUGUGCCUCUUCAAGUCAGCAUCUGCUCAAUGCUACAUUUUUAGCUCAAGAACAUAUUGCUCUUCAGAUACAAACAAGUGAUAUCCCAACAUCUGAAUCUAUUUGUGGAAAAGUGUGCUGAGGAGUGAAGCUGCAAGAAAACCUUUUGCAGGACUUAUUCAAAAGCAAACUGAUUUUUUUUCUCUCCCUCUUUACCUUAAAAUCACUCCAUGUUAAAGAGAAUUGCUGUUUCUUGAGGCCAAAAAAAAAAACAAAAAACAAAAAAAAAACAUUUGGUAUAUAUCUCUCCAUAUCUCAACCCUGAUUAAACAAUAUCCACUUCCACUCACACAUGCCUUUAUAGCCCUUCAUCCCAUGCUUAACAGUAGAAUCAUAGAAUAUCCUGAAUUUGAAGGGACCCACAAGAAUGAUGGAGCUCAAUACAUGCUGUUUCAAUUUUGUAUCCUCAUCAGAUUCCUGAAGACUAAUUCCUCUAAAUGUUGAAAAUUAUCCCUUGACUAAAAGAAUUACAGACUGAUAAUACAUGUCAAGUUCAACUAAACACGCUGUAUAGGAGCAGGAGAGGAUGAGGCUACCGCUGAUGGUCUCAUUAGAGUUCACUACAUCAGCUUUGAAAGGUUUCUCUGCUGACCUCAGCACCCACACUGCUGGCAUGAGUGUGUUUGCUUAAAACAGACAGUAGCAAAGUUCAUGUGUAUUUUUUAAAAUAAGUAAUAGUGAAAGCAGAAGAAAGGGAAAUAUCAGGAAGAAGCCUGAUAAAUGAAAAUGUUACUGCAAUUCUAAUUUGUCUGUUUCACUGAGUCACCCACUAGACUUUUUUGGACUGGUAUUUUUAGGUUAGACCAAUAUUGAUUUAACAGGUUAAGAGAGGUUUAAAUGAUCCAGCGUCAACUGCAUAGGUUUUGCUCUGGCUUCUUAGAUAACAUUGGUUGAAGCCAUGUAAUUACC